GGGAACCUCACAGGCCCGGACACCGGAAGGAUUGACAGAUUGAGAGCUCUUUCUUGAUUCGGUGGGUGGUGGUGCAUGGCCGUUCUUAGUUGGUGGAGCGAUUUGUCUGGUUAAUUCCGAUAAACGAACGAGACUCUAGCCUGCUAACUAGGCGAUUUCCGGUACCCACAAUAGUGUUACCGGCGAUUCAAUUUCUUCUUAGAGGGACAGGCGGCUCCUAGCCGCACGAGACUGAGCAAUAACAGGUCUGUGAUGCCCUUAGAUGUCCUGGGCCGCACGCGCGCUACACUGAAGGAAUCAGCGUGUCUUCCCUGGCCGAC
rnacentral:rRNA from 1 species